rnacentral:rRNA from 1 species
CCUACGGGCGGCAGCAGUGAGGAAUAUUGGUCAAUGGGCGCGAGCCUGAACCAGCCAAGUAGCGUGAAGGAUGACUGCCCUACGGGUUGUAAACUUCUUUUAUAAAGGAAUAAAGUGAGGCCCGUGUGCCUUUUUGUAUGUACUUUAUGAAUAAGGAUCGGCUAACUCCGUGCCAGCAGCCGCGGUAAUACGGAGGAUCCGAGCGUUGUCCGGAUUUAUUGGGUUUAAAGGGAGCGUAGAGGGGUUGUUAAGUCAGUUGUGAAAGUUUGCGGCUCAACCGGAAAAUUGCAAUUGAUACUGGCAGCCUUGAGUACAGUUGAGGUAGGCGGAAUGCGUGGUGUAGCGGUGAAAUGCUUAGAGAUCACGAAGAACUCCGAUUGCGAAGGCAGCUUACUAAACUGCCACUGACAUUGAUGCUCGAAAGUGUGGGUAUCAAACAGGAUUAGAUACCCCAGUAGUC